ACCCUGUUAUUCUAAAUUUUAUAUCAUAUUUCAAAGAAAAUAAAACAAAAUAAAUUUGACGGUAUUAACUUUUACAAAGGAAUUUGUUUCUAUAUCGAUAACACACGAUACACCUUACUUAAUACAUAUCUGUAUACCACCGUAUAUGAAAUUAUUAAAAAUUAAUCUCUAAAAAGAAAAAAAUCUUUAAAAUCAGGUCAAGGUGCAAUUUUAUUAAGAUGAAAUGAAUUACAUUAAUUUAUAUUUAUUUAUAAAAGAUGAAACUCCUUUUAAAAAUAGAAUUUGUAAGUAAAAUUUUAUCAUAAUGAUAAUUUGAAAACUAUCAUUAAUAUG
rnacentral:rRNA from 2 species